ACGGAGCACGCCGCGUGAGUGAUGAAGGUCUUCGGAUCGUAAAACUCUGUUAUUAGGGAAGAACAUAUGUGUAAGUAACUGUGCACAUCUUGACGGUACCUAAUCAGAAAGCCACGGCUAACUACGUGCCAGCAGCCGCGGUAAUACGUAGGUGGCAAGCGUUAUCCGGAAUUAUUGGGCGUAAAGCGCGCGUAGGCGGUUUUUUAAGUCUGAUGUGAAAGCCCACGGCUCAACCGUGGAGGGUCAUUGGAAACUGGAAAACUUGAGUGCAGAAGAGGAAAGUGGAAUUCCAUGUGUAGCGGUGAAAUGCGCAGAGAUAUGGAGGAACACCAGUGGCGAAGGCGACUUUCUGGUCUGUAACUGACGCUGAUGUGCGAAAGCGUGGGGAUCAAACAGGAUUAGAUACCCUGGUAGUCCACGCCGUAAACGAUGAGUGCUAAGUGUUAGGGGGUUUCCGCCCCUUAGUGCUGCAGCUAACGCAUUAAGCACUCCGCCUGGGGAGUACGACCGCAAGGUUGAAACUCAAAGGAAUU
rnacentral:rRNA from 1 species